GGACUGUCUCAAAACAUGGACUGCCAAAGUUGUACUACAGAAUUUAGUCUCCUAAAGGGGAUCAGAUUCUGGAAGAUCUUUCCAAAAGAAGCUGUGGAGUCUACUGCAGAUACUCAAAAUCUUGAAGAGCUCCCUCUGCUUUAAACAGCAGAAACAGAACAACACCACUGGAAAAAGAAAAUUGGAAAAGAAGGGAGAAAUGAAAUAUAAAUAAAUAAAUAGGUCAGAAUUCCUAACUCUUAACUCUUUAAAUUAUUUACUGGGAUCAUAGCUAGUUUAGGGAAUAUAAAAAUAUGGAACCUUAGAAGUGUGUUGAGUUGGGUAGAGUGAAGUGAGUUUAAAAGUAAAUAUAAGUUCAGUAAUGUUAAUUAAUCUCAAUAACAUGAUGCUCUAAUACAUUAGCUAUACAUUCUUUUGAUUUGAGAAUUCAAAAUAUCAUCUAUUCCUUAUAAGGAUGUCCUCAAUGAUUCUGCUAUGAAUUUGUUUCUUAUACAGUGAUAACUAAAGCUUUAUGUUGUUCCUAAAGAAUCACAGCAAUUGUUAUCUAAAAUGAUAACCGCAAUUACAUUCUGUGAACCAAAGUACAGUUUAUUCUUUGAUGUGAGUAUUCUUUCUUAUCUUUCUAGCAAAAUACAAUGGGCUGCUCCAAAAGUAGUGCCUUCCAUUUUAUUAUGUUGUCCCACAUUAUCAGAGAAGACUGUUUUUGGUAUGGCAGUAGAGGUUGAACUUUCUCGCCAGUAUUCCAUUACAUUUUGUUUCCAUGUGACAGACAGCAGCGGAGGGGUAGUCUGACAAAACAGCAUCUGUCACAGAAAUGCAUAGCAAGCAAAGUUGUGUGACUGAAUUCCUCCACGUGGAAAAAGUAGCACCCACUAACAUUCACUGAUACUUACCAAACAUUUAUGGAGACCAAACAGUGGCUGUAAGCACAGUGACGCUGUGGGUGGUGCCUUUCACCAGUGGCAACAGUUAGAGUGACAGUUACCUCCACUGGUGCAGUUUUUUGGCAUGCAGGCUCUUGUUCAUUGCUGGUGAAAAUGCAUAGCUAAUGGUGGUGAUGAUACUGAAAAGUAUUUUUUUGUAGGUAAGAAUUUGUUCUAUCAAAUAGUGUUAUUUUGCUCUUUGUAUUUGUUGUAGUUUCCAUGGAAAUAAAUAGGAGACAUUACUUUUGGAGUGACCUACAUAUCAUGCUAAUUGAUUUUUUACUUUAGAAUUUCUGUAAAACUGCAUAAAAGCAUUAAUAAUCAUAAAAUAUUAAUUGUAAAACAUAAAAUAAAAGCUUAAUAUAUAUUACAUUUUCAGUUCAUUCAAUCACAUUUUCACUAAUUCAUAAACUUUGAACUUCAUGCUAAUUUUGUACUUGCAAAUAUGUCUAUUUCCUUGUCUUUUGCUCUCUAAGAUUAAUACUGAUUUAUUAAAUCAAUAAAAAAAUAAUAAAUGAAAAGUUAGUAUAGAUAUCACUACACAAAUACAACUGGUCUUUGUCCUUGUAUCUGCUAGAAGUAUUUAAUUUAUAUUGUAUUAUAAUAAAGUCAAAGAACCACUAAUACAUUAAGA